UACAGAGGGUGCGAGCGUUAAUCGGAAUUACUGGGCGUAAAGCGCGCGUAGGCGGCUUUUCAAGCCGAUUGUGAAAUCCCCGGGCUUAACCUGGGAACUGCAGUCGGGACUGUCUAGCUAGAGUAUGGGAGAGGGUAGUGGAAUUUCAGGUGUAGCGGUGAAAUGCGUAGAUAUCUGAAGGAACAUCAGUGGCGAAAGCGACUUCCUGGACCAAUACUGACGCUCAUGUGCGAAAGCGUGGGGAGCAAACAGG
rnacentral:rRNA from 1 species